rnacentral:rRNA from 1 species
UACGGGGGGGGCAAGCGUUGUUCGGAAUUACUGGGCGUAAAGCGCACGCAGGCGGUCUGUCAAGUCGGAUGUGAAAUCCCCGGGCUCAACCUGGGAACUGCAUUCGAAACUGGCAGGCUAGAGUCUUGUAGAGGGGGGUAGAAUUCCAGGUGUAGCGGUGAAAUGCGUAGAGAUCUGGAGGAAUACCGGUGGCGAAGGCGACAUCCUGGACCAACACUGACGCUGAGUGAGCGAAAGCCAGGGGAGCAAACGGG